rnacentral:sRNA from 1 species
AUCCAGGUUCCCAUUCCUCCAACCCCCAGGGGGCUCCUGCUCAGGUUCCUUGCCCCCUCCUUCCCGCUGCCAGCCUCUCCGCCGUCGCUGCUCUUCCUG